UGAUGAUCCUUUCCAGCUGCAACAUCUGUCACCUCAUGGAUAUCCAGGGUUAAUUCAGCUCAUCUGGCUGGCUAGGCAGUUGUACCCUUCCUCCCUGUGCUUCACUUCCAAAGCUGUGGGCUGGGUCAAAGAGGACGACCUUCCCCAAGUAGAGGAGGACCAAUCUUUGUUCAAGGGUAUAGGAGUAGCUGAGCUCCCCUGCUAGAACCUACAAACAAUAUCGAGGUUCAAACCUUCAUUUUUUAUGAGAAUAUGUCAAAGAAUAAGAAAAAGCUAUCACAUGACAAUAAUCACAAUAAUGAGUAAGUUAGAUUACUAUUUUA
rnacentral:snRNA from 1 species